AAUGAUUUACUCAAUCGUGCUUGUGUAAUGAAGUCUCCAUAACAACCCACGAGGAGAGGGUUCUGAGUGCUUUCAAGUUGGUGGAGGUCCUGGAGAGGGCAUGGAAGCUCCCUGUGCUCUCCGUAUACUUCACAGCUCUUCUUCUCUUCCACCUGGUGGUUCCUGAGCUUUAUCCUUUUAUAACAAACCAGUGAUCAAACCGUGUACUUUGUGAAAAUAAGAACCCCAUCUUCUUUGUUCAUUUCUGGAUCCUCAGAACCUGCCUUCCAUGACCUCCUACUGUUGACCAAACUAGCAGCCUGUGUCCUGUUUGAAGAGCUACUGCGGCAGAAGCCGCUGCCUCCAAGCGCUUACGGGAUUUAUCUCUAAAUUAAUAUUUUCAUCGAACACCCUCACGAUACACCUUACAUAAUCUUUAAAUUAUAGGGAAACGCUAGAAGGGUGUUCUGCAAGUCACUGGCUGGAGUCCUGCGAGAGAUUUAUGGCUCUCUCAAGUCGACAUUUGUGACUGACCUACAGCACACCAGGGCUGCUAUUUCCCUUUCCUGAUUCAUGAUAAGUGCAGCUGCCUCCAAAUAAGCCUCCCGAGCCCAUUAAUGCUCAGUCCAUUCCCUUCUGGUAAAUACGCACAUCCCCAGCCUCACUUUUGAAUGUUCAGCGGCGACAAAGUUGAAUAGAAAAUCAGGUUGCCUUUUCCUGUUCGAAACCCUUUGCCAAGUGCCUUGUCACCAGAACGUGGGCGCCCCAGAGUCCAACUUAACCUCUGGCUCUAAUUAAGGAGAUACUUUCCAAUAUAGUUUACUCUCGCAAAAAUAGCAAGAUUGUUUUCCCCUGGCAACACGGGUUUUAAGGUCCUACACUGGGACGCCUUCCGUGUUUUGCUGCCAGCACCAUAGCUAAUUAACAAAAUUGCAUAAAGAUUGAUAUGAAGGUAAAUAUUAAAGGCACAAAAGGGAAGGGAAGGCAAAUUAUUUAAAAUGUCAGAAAAGCCAAGACAUUCAUCUUCCCUGCCGCAAUUUGUUUUUCAUUAAUAAAAUAUACAUUGUUUUCCGCUCGGAAAAGUUAUUAGUGGCAACACGGUCUGCACGAAGCUUUGUCUCUUCUGAAAUGAAGUCUUUGUUUAGACAUCGGUGAUGAGGGUUUUGUGCCAUUGUCUAAUCUGUCAGAUUAGAUGAGCAAGUGUAUUUAGGGGUGCAAAGAUGUGCAGCCACACCUGCUGUGCAAAGCUGUGAAUUCACAACUCUUCUGACUAUUAAAAUGUGUUAUCCUGGGAGCUCUUUUGUUGUAAUGGAACUGUUGGUGGUUGUGUGUUUGAAGUCGCGCAAGUGUCAGGCCUUAUUACAAUCAUAAUAAUCACUCCAAAAAUAACCUCAUAUUUCGACCAUUUCAUGUUAAUGCGCAAAAAAUUAAAGGCUAAGCACCUAAUAGAUUUGAAGAUGUGAAAGUGAUUUUGCACUCAAAUCUUUCUAAGCAAAAACGAAAGUCCAUUAAUGCAAUAAUAUUCACAACCCAGAAAAACUAUAGCCAUUUGAGAGAGAGUUUUGAAAUAAUACAGGACGCGAACAAAGGACACGCAACCAAAUGUGAAGCCAAUAUCGUGAGGAUAAAAUUAUUCUCUGAGCGAUAUUAACUGUGAUCCUUAAAAAACGCUAAUUAUCAUUUCUUUAUCUGUUGAUGUUUGUCCUUUUCAUGGGAACCUAUCAUGAUAUUUUAUUCCCUCAACUAAAUAUUGGAUUAAGCCUAAACAGAGCUAAUAUUUUCUACUUGUCCCUGAUUAUAUUGGCCACUUUUUUUGUGUGCAAUUUCUGUUAUUUUACUUUGUUGAAAUGUAACUGCCCUUAAUAAUCUUGAAACAAAACAAGGAAAUAGAGCUGCUUCAUUUAUUAACUCACCAUGCAGUUCCUAAAACCUACUUUUCUACCUAAUUUAUAUUUUUGAUAUUGGAGGUUUUUGUUGAGCAUUAGUGUUCUUUAAAUAAUCGUCGAGUGUCUCAUAAAUCUAUAGGACUUUCUUCAUUAUAAGUUAGAGCAUUUGCUAAGGAAUGAGAGAAUUUUUCUUUUCAGUAUUUUAAAAAGCAAGGGAAAAGAGAAAAGAACAAAAUGUUAAGCCUCUGUUGUUACUUUUAUAACACUAAGCAGCUUGUGGCAGGUUUAAUAGACCCUAAUCUAGAGAGGCCUUUUUAGGGACCUUAGACCUGUAUGGCCUCAUUAAUUCACAUGGUGCGUGACAGUUCAGAGGUGUCCUAAACCAGCCAUUACCUGCAUAAACAGGCUCUGAUGCCAGCGUGGCACGUUCACUGUCCUCAGAUCAGAAUUCCUCAUCCUUGAUAGCUGUGAUUAGACAAAACCUCCGUAAUGUAAGAAUAUUUUCUUUUUUUUCCUCUGUAAAUACCAAUGAAAUCUGAUCACGAACUACAGUGCAGUACCUUGCAAAACAGAUUUUUAAAUAUUUUUAGCACUAUCCCACAAGAAGAUAAUGCACACUUAACCGAGAAAAGAUACUGGCUUAAAAUAAUGGAAAGAUAUUGGCCUUCUCCAACUCUCCAGAAAUUGUCAUUUUACUGAGACUCAGGCAUACAAUUAGGUGGCCCUCAUUUGACAAUCAUUACGAUGCUGAGACCCGGAUUUCAUAUUGUGUAACAUCUGGAUGGUCCUGCACAUGUAGCAGGGUGACAGCUUCACACAUUCCUUGAAAAGAGGCGUCCACACACUGACAGUUACUCAUCAUUCAGAACCAGAAAAAAAAAAAUGAAACGAAAAAAAGAUUUUCCUCCUGACUCUUAAUUUAGGCUAAUCUAUGUAAAAUACAUUAUCUAAUAGCAACCAGCACAGGAACAGUUUUCUGGCACAUUUGCAAAUUGCAGCUGGUCUGAAUUAUAGCAAGAAAUAUUUUACCUUGUGAUAGAAAAGGGAAAAAAGUUUUUACCAAAGGCCAAACUGUGUAAUAAAGGAAAUUAAGAGUAAUUGAAGAUUUGAUUUAAUUUAAUUAACUUUGUAAUAAUCUUAAAUUACUUCUCUUUUUUUAUCCUUAUAUAAAUGCCCAGUGAAGACAUUGAAUAUGAAAAUGCUAAAAUAAUAUGUAAACCUGGUAUUUUAAUUAAAUCAGUGCCAAGCUAAUUUCUAGCUAUUACUUGUUGAGAGAAGUCUUCGUGAUAACAGGAUUGUUCAUCUCAAGGCUGUAUAAAGUGAUGAAAAACAUAUAAAUAUGUGAAAAUUAAUAUCUGCGUAUGUGUUUUUUCUUUUAAAGUAUGCUGAAAUCUUCACAAACCUUUAAUAUUUCUCAUUGCGCUUGGUUCCCCCAACAGUAUUGGUGUUUCAGUCUCUUACAUUUUCCUCAGAACCCUGUGUCCUUGUUUCCCUGACUAGUUUUGAUCUGGAUAGGUAAAAUACUGAUGCUGCUUAAAACUUUCCUGCACAGAAGACAUUUAAAGCAAGGCAGAUACAAAGAUUGGUUUUCCUUUCCUGAAAUUAAUGAAAGCCACUGUAUGCAAUGGAUAUUUAGUAGAGAAAAUGCAUUAUUUUAUGGAAGAUAUUUUUUUAAAUGUUAUGUGGACUUCUCUUGCUUUGCAGUGUAUCCACACCAGCUAAAAAGAUUCAAUAGUCUGACUACACUUUUACGUGCUGGAUUAGUCUUUAUAUUUGUUUUGAUAGAAAAGCAGGCAACAGCCUAUUUCAUGGACAAUAAAUUCAAGAUAGUAAUGAUGAGAUAGUAUUGCCUCAGCUAAGUGCACCCAGAUUGGAGGAUCACAUAUUUGACCUCGAUCUAGUAUGGUCCUUAAUGAAUCUAUAUACUUGAUUAGAGUUACUGUCUUUUUAUGGCUCCAAAUAGCUUUGCAUGGAAAACUAGCUCAUUUUAAGUAGAGUUGAGAGAAUUAUUUUGCUUCCAACGAAUCUCUGAAACUUUUCCAAAGACUUUUGAGUGCUUGCUUUAAAAUUUUUGCUUCCCAGAAAGCUACCCUUCUCCUUGCCAAUUUUGGUUUUGUUUACAACCUUCAUUGCAUAGAAAAGAUGUGCUCUUCUGCUACAUGUUAAAGGUAUGAAAAAUUUGGGGGUUUUAAAUAAUCAGCAGAAUUACUGAAAUAUUGUAUGAAAGCCCUGGUCUUGCAGUUAUUUAGGAAUUUUGCAGAUCUUCCUUGCCUAGCCCAUUUCUUAGGACAGAGUAGAAGAAUUGAUGCUGGCGUGUCAUAUUGCGAGAUCAGUGUUAAAGUAGCAGUAAGACAAAACAAAACAAAACAAAACAAAAAAGAGCCAGGAAGGAUUAGAACUCAGGGCCAUUGGAGGUCUUCUGUCCUGUUUUACGUGUGCUUUGUUUCUUUUAUUCAUUUACUUUUAUUUGCAUUCUGUCAGCUUCUAAUAAUAAGUGGAAUUUUUAUAGCGUCUGGUUACAGAUAUCACCUCUAAUGUUCCAGUGUGCGUGCAAUGCACCUGCUUUAUUAUGCAAUGGUCUUUUACAGCCUCCCUGCUUCUGUGAUGUAGCUCUCUUCUCAUCUCUGCUUCCAACUCCAUCUCUCUUUCUCUCUGCUUCUCCGGCUGCAUCACUCACUCUUAAUUCAAGAAAGUGAUUUCUUACUUCUUGUCAUUCUCUUUCUUUCUACCACUCACUCUCAAUCUAUCAGAACUCAUUUCCUGAUUCUGACUACUCUGGGCUCAUGUAUCUCCCUCACUCCGUUCCUCUUCCAGAAAUAUGAUCGAAAUUCUUUCUUUCUUUACCUUUUUUUUUAAAUGCAGCUUUCAGAAACUUUUAUUUUCCUUCUUUGUCUUUACUACCAUUUAGGAUUUGGAGGGUAGACAAAUUUAGACAGUAAAAUCUCAAGUUCACAUCACUCUGGGCACUUCUGAAGGAAUAAAUAUUUUCUGAAAGUAUCCACAAAUAUGAAAUGGUAGACUCCUGCAGUAUUACUCAUUAAUAAAUAUAGUGAAGGUUUUCAAUCAAGGACUUUUGGAGAUGAAAGAAUUAGCUCUCAGGUGUGGGGUAUUGUCUCUAAUAACAACAAAGAAUUAGGAUACAAAUAGAUGACGUGUGCAUAUUUCCAGUUGUGUCUCUUAAUGUUGGACUAGGGUCUGAAUCUGCAAAGACCAAAAGCACUCGGAUUUUACAUUUUUUAGUGUAUCACUUCACUCACUUAGAUUGCUUUGCUGUUGUUACUUCUUCAUGUUCUAAAAUGGGUUGGUCAUGCAUUCUUCUUAACAUAUGAUCUUAAGUGGAUGUGUUGAUGUUACAAUAACAGUGCCAGAAUAAUUAAGUCAUUCUAACAAUAUCAGGAAUUUCAUAUGUAAUUCAAUAGUUACACGAGUUUUAAAUAGCAUUAAUACAUCCCUAAGCCCACCACAAUGAAUAUACUAUAUAAUCAAUCAGUUUUGCCUAAGUUUAAAGACAAAACAAAAAUGCAACUAAAAAGAGAUUACUGCAUCUAUUCUAGAACUUCUUUUUUACCGGGGUUACAAACGAGGUAAUUU